UGGGGAAUAUUGCGCAAUGGGCGAAAGCCUGACGCAGCAACGCCGUGUGAGGGAUGAAGGCUUUCGGGUCGUAAACCUCUGUCGGAAGGGAAGAACGGGUGAGGGUCUAAUAGGCCUUCAUUUUGACGGUACCUUUAGAGGAAGCACCGGCUAACUCCGUGCCAGCAGCCGCGGUAAUACGGAGGGUGCAAGCGUUAUUCGGAAUUACUGGGCGUAAAGCGCACGUAGGCCGCUUUGUAAGUCAGGGGUGAAAUCCCACGGCUCAACCGUGGAACUGCCCUUGAAACUGCAGAGCUUGAAUCCUGGAGAGGGUGGCGGAAUUCCUGGUGUAGGAGUGAAAUCCGUAGAUAUCAGGAGGAACACCGGUGGCGAAGGCGGCCACCUGGACAGGCAUUGACGCUGAGGUGCGAAAGUGUGGGGAGCAAACAGG
rnacentral:rRNA from 1 species